UACAUGGGUUGCAAACGUUGCUCGGAAUCAUUGGGCGUAAAGCGCACGUAGGCGGUUCGUUAUGUCGGAUGUGAAAGCCCUUGGCUUAACCGAGGAAGUGCAUCCGAAACUGGCGAGCUAGAGUACUAAAGAGGAUCGCGGAAUUCCCGGUGUAGAGGUGAAAUUCGUAGAUAUCGGGAGGAACACCGGUGGCGAAGGCGGCGAUCUGGGUAGAUACUGACGCUGAGGUGCGAAAGCGUGGGGAGCAAACAGG
rnacentral:rRNA from 1 species